UUUAUGGAGAGUUUGAUCCUGGCUCAGGAUGAACGCUGGCGGCGUGCCUAAUACAUGCAAGUCGAGCGAACGGACGAGAAGCUUGCUUCUCUGAUGUUAGCGGCGGACGGGUGAGUAACACGUGGAUAACCUACCUAUAAGACUGGGAUAACUUCGGGAAACCGGAGCUAAUACCGGAUAAUAUUUUGAACCGCAUGGUUCAAAAGUGAAAGACGGUCUUGCUGUCACUUAUAGAUGGAUCCGCGCUGCAUUAGCUAGUUGGUAAGGUAACGGCUUACCAAGGCAACGAUGCAUAGCCGACCUGAGAGGGUGAUCGGCCACACUGGAACUGAGACACGGUCCAGACUCCUACGGGAGGCAGCAGUAGGGAAUCUUCCGCAAUGGGCGAAAGCCUGACGGAGCAACGCCGCGUGAGUGAUGAAGGUCUUCGGAUCGUAAAACUCUGUUAUUAGGGAAGAACAUAUGUGUAAGUAACUGUGCACAUCUUGACGGUACCUAAUCAGAAAGCCACGGCUAACUACGUGCCAGCAGCCGCGGUAAUACGUAGGUGGCAAGCGUUAUCCGGAAUUAUUGGGCGUAAAGCGCGCGUAGGCGGUUUUUUAAGUCUGAUGUGAAAGCCCACGGCUCAACCGUGGAGGGUCAUUGGAAACUGGAAAACUUGAGUGCAGAAGAGGAAAGUGGAAUUCCAUGUGUAGCGGUGAAAUGCGCAGAGAUAUGGAGGAACACCAGUGGCGAAGGCGACUUUCUGGUCUGUAACUGACGCUGAUGUGCGAAAGCGUGGGGAUCAAACAGGAUUAGAUACCCUGGUAGUCCACGCCGUAAACGAUGAGUGCUAAGUGUUAGGGGGUUUCCCGCCCCUUAGUGCUGCAGCUAACGCAUUAAGCACUCCGCCUGGGGAGUACGACCGCAAGGUUGAAACUCAAAGGAAUUGACGGGGACCCGCACAAGCGGUGGAGCAUGUGGUUUAAUUCGAAGCAACGCGAAGAACCUUACCAAAUCUUGACAUCCUUUGACAACUCUAGAGAUAGAGCCUUCCCCUUCGGGGGACAAAGUGACAGGUGGUGCAUGGUUGUCGUCAGCUCGUGUCGUGAGAUGUUGGGUUAAGUCCCGCAACGAGCGCAACCCUUAAGCUUAGUUGCCAUCAUUAAGUUGGGCACUCUAAGUUGACUGCCGGUGACAAACCGGAGGAAGGUGGGGAUGACGUCAAAUCAUCAUGCCCCUUAUGAUUUGGGCUACACACGUGCUACAAUGGACAAUACAAAGGGCAGCGAAACCGCGAGGUCAAGCAAAUCCCAUAAAGUUGUUCUCAGUUCGGAUUGUAGUCUGCAACUCGACUACAUGAAGCUGGAAUCGCUAGUAAUCGUAGAUCAGCAUGCUACGGUGAAUACGUUCCCGGGUCUUGUACACACCGCCCGUCACACCACGAGAGUUUGUAACACCCGAAGCCGGUGGAGUAACCUUUUAGGAGCUAGCCGUCGAAGGUGGGACAAAUGAUUGGGGUGAAGUCGUAACAAGGUAGCCGUAUCGGAAGGUGCGGCUGGAUCACCUCCUUUCU
rnacentral:rRNA from 1 species